GACGAACGCUGGCGGCGUGCUUAACACAUGCAAGUCGAGCGGAAAGGCCCUUUCGGGGGUACUCGAGCGGCGAACGGGUGAGUAACACGUGAGUAAUCUGCCCUUGGCUUUGGGAUAACUACCGGAAACGGUGGCUAAUACCGGAUACGACUGCUCCCGGCAUCGGGGUGGUGGAAAGUUUUUCGGCCAGGGAUGUGCUCGCGGCCUAUCAGCUUGUUGGUGGGGUAAUGGCCUACCAAGGCUUCGACGGGUAGCCGGCCUGAGAGGGUGACCGGCCACACUGGGACUGAGACACGGCCCAGACUCCUACGGGAGGCAGCAGUGGGAAUAUUGGACAAUGGGCGGAAGCCUGAUCCAGCAACGCCGCGUGAGGGAUGACGGCCUUCGGUUGUAAACCUCUUCUAGUACCGACGAAGCGCCGACGUGAGUGGUGGUGACGGUAGGUACGAGAAGAAGAC
rnacentral:rRNA from 1 species